rnacentral:lncRNA from 10 species
CAGAAUUUUAAAAAAUGAAGUGAGAGACAUAUUAAACCGUGUUUAUAAUAGCAGUUGUUAUAGUCAAAAUUUCAGUUAUUUAUAAACUCCCUCCAACUAAGAGGUAUUAUAGCUUUUAAUCUUUUAAAAAUAUUAAAUGAUAAUGACUUUUGUUGCUAUAAAAUAUUGUAACAAUUUAAAAUUUAAGAGAGUUUAUUUUGGAUUUUAUAGAGGUGUAACAUACCUCUUAUUACAAGUAUUUAUUCUCCUUGGAUUCUGUAUACACUUCCCUUUUUUAUCACUCAGUAUUUCUACCUAUUUUUUUCUUAAACUAGCCAGAUAUCUUGACAAAACUAUUUAGAAAAAGGAUGAUUCAUUUGAAAAUGUUCACAAACUAAUUAUUUCUAUGUUUAUACUUUCUUCUUGCCAACCUCCUUUUAUCUUUAUAGCACUUUCAAUUCUGGAUAAGAAAUGAAAAGAGAAAAAACACAAAAGUCAAUGGCAGUUUUUAUUAGCAGCUAAGAUUUUUGUCUGUUUAUAAAAUUGAUGCUAUGAACUAAAAUUAGGUUUGAGAGGACAGUUCACUUAAUCUAUGUUAUUUCUUGUCAAAAUAAUGAAAGAUUGGAAGUUCUUUUAUUUCAUAGGUCACUUAUGAUCAAUUUAUGAGUCUUCUCAUACAUACUACUUAAAUAUUCAAUAAAUUAACCUGGCUCACAAUGAUAAUUUUUGAAUAUAUAAUUGAAAAAUCUCUAAAAUACCAUGGAUUUGAGUUGUACUGACACUCAUCUGCAUUUUUUUCUGAGCCCUUUUGUAUGAUUUAAGGAAGAUACACUUGCUUAUUCUUUUAGAUUUUAGAAUCUCCCAUCUCUGAUUAUCAUAAUCAAAAUGAAUGAGGAAUAAGUAUCCACAAGAAGCUAUAACCUCUGAGAAUUUCCCAGGUAAGACACUACACUGUAUUCCUAAAUUUUUCUAGCAAAUAAUUGUUCUCCAAAUGAAGUCUACAAAUAACACCCUACCUAUCUUCACAUAAUCAGUUAGUAAUUUCUUUCUUAUUACUGAGUCACAAAAGUUUGAGUCCUAUGUACUUUUAUUUUUAUUCUUUUGACUUUUUUUUUGCUAUAAGUAUAUGUGACUCAUGCACUAGAGAGAUGGGUAAGGAAAAAAAAUGCUUUUGAAAGACCGAAUACUCUGUGAUGAAACGCUAGCCCCAGAUCUAUUCUUGCUUCUUUUGAAUUUACUACUAAUUACACAAUUAUGUGUUACUGCAUUAUUUUACUAAAUUCCAAAGUUAAAAGACUGAUUAUCAGAGAAGUUAAUUUUGACCUUUCACUUGAAAGGUCAAGGUCAUUUGUAAUUAUUUUCUGUUAGAAUUCCCUUCCUCUAGAGGAAAGAAAAAAAUGUAUUGCAGAGGGGAAAAUUCAGCUAAGAAAUUGAAAUAGGCUAUGUUCCUUUAUUCUGGAACUUUGCAAAGAAGGGUAUUAGGAAUACAGAAGAGGCAGUAUUAACUUUAACAAAGGCAACAGGAAAUUGUUUGCUGAACUAUGACCCUGUAGUAAAACUGAAGUCUGAUCACAUCCAGAUAUAUGGUAAGAUAUGGAUUUGGACAUUACCUCAUCCUGAAUCUUCUUGGCAUCAAUAGUAAUGUGUUUUGAGACCUAUAAACUCAUAAAUCUAAUUUUGGAACUUUAUUUUGAGAUUAUUUUACAUGGGAUUAUACAUUAACACAUAUAUGCAUGAGCGCUAUUGACAGAUACUUCAUUUUUAAUAGGUUGUCCCUAGAAGUGCCGAGACUGACAUUUUAUCAAAUCCUGGUAUGACAAUUUAUUACAUUUUUUGUUUUGAUAGAUGGUGUAUUCCAUGAUUAUAUAACUCAAUACCAGACCUAGGGAGAAAAUAAUUUUCUUUGAUUUAGAAAUCAGUUACUUCCAGGUGUUUUUUGUUUGUUUGUUUGUUAUUAUAUGCAGCAAUGGCAUCUUUUGACACCUUUAGUGUAGGUUUACCUUUUUAUUAGGGAGCAAACACAUUCCUAACUCACUAAGUGCAGCAUUCCUGAAGAGUAAUCAUUUUUUUUCUCAUAUUACUCUCAUAUUCUUCUCAUAUAUUUCUUAUAUUCCUUGAAAAUUUUGUGAAUGUUUUAUCUGGGUUCCACCUGAAUAUAUACAAAGAAGAGAUGGAUUAUAAAGAAAUGUGUUUGCAAUAUGAACCCAGCUGACACUAAAAAGAUGCACAUUUUAUUUUUAAAAAAUUAUAUAAAAAGCAUAUACAGUAAUUUAAAAUCAAGUGAUAAAUUAAGACAUUAUAUUGCUGCUUUCUUUUGGAUAGAAAAAGAACAACAACAUAUUUUAUUUCAAUUUUCUUCCUAGACUUUAUACUUACUUUGUAUUUUCCUAUCUUAAAUAUACAAAAACUAUAUGCUUCACAAAGAAAAGUUUUAUUGACGCUAAACUCAGCUGAUGCAUAGUGAUUUUAUUUAAAGAUUGCAUUAUUUAAAAGUGUACAUGCUAACUUAAAAUCAGAUAUUAUACUAAGAAGUGUUAUAGCUUUUAAAAUAUCAUUUGAAAAUUCAAAACUAGUCCCUUCGGUGAUCCUUCAGUAUUCUAUUUUUUUAAAAUUUUUAUGUUAGGUUUGAGUGUACAUGUGAAGGUUUGUUAUGGAGGUAAACAUGUGUCACAGGGGUUUGUUGUACAUAUGAUUUAAUUACCCAAGUAUUAACCACAGUACCCAAUAGUUAUCUUUUCUGCUUCAAAGAAAUUAGAAGGAAAAUUUUACCUUCUGCAAGAUUCUUUUUCAUUUUCUACAUUCAGCUGCUUUAUGUUUUCUGUAUAAAUACAUGUAAAUCUAAAACUCAAUCUACAAUAGGAAGGUGAUUUUACAGGCAAGAUCUUUGAAACUGAUGGUUUGAAAUAUAUUAGGAAAAAAACGAAACUGUAAAGCAGUUAUAUAACCGUUUUAAUGAUGGGCAAAGGUAAUACUUUAUUCUUGUUAUUGAAGUGAAUAGACCUUAUGGUACUUUAUUUCUUGUUUCUGAAAUGUCUAAGGUUUUGAUACAUUUAGACAUUUAUUGAGGUAAAUAUUAUUUAUCUAUGGGGUGAAUAUACCAGUUAUAAAGUCCUCAAUUAUUUUAUUCAUGUCACCUGCCUAUUCAUAUAGAUAGUACUCAUUUAUUUAGGGUCUUUAUAGAACUUCAUUUCUUUCAUAUCCCCCAACUGAUAAUUAUUAACAUCAUUUCUGAGCUUUAUCACAAAGACUCCCCUGAAUAUUCCAAACUCUAUUCAUUUGACUGUACUCUUACUCAAUUUUUAUUUAUUUAUUUUUUUUGAAGAAAAUACUUAGCUUUUGGUCACUUACUGUCCUAUACUAACACUUAUUGUUAAAUAUUUCCAUAUUUAAACAUCUUGUAAGGGAAUAGGACCAAUAUAUUGUGGGCCUCCGAGCUAAUCUUAGUAGAUACAUUAAAAAGUACUGGUUAAUUAAUCAAUUACGUGAUUUAUUAUGAAUUUCUCUGCUUCAAGUAUUUUAGAAAACCUAAAGGCAGGAAUUGGGGUGAUGCAGCUAAAACCCAAGGAACUAAGAAUUGACAAAAAGUAAUAGAAGCUAGAAGAAGCAAGGAAAGCAUUAUUUCCUAAAAUCUUCAGAGGGAGCAUGACCCUGCUAACACCUUGGUUUCCAACUUCUAGCCUCCAGAUGUGUGAAAGAAGGAAUUACUUUUGUGGUCUUCUUAUAAGAAAAUAAGUCGAUGGAUUUAGGACCUUCUAUAAUUCAGUAUAAACUCAACUAAUUACAUCUGCAAGGCCACUGCCUCCUUAUGGAUGUGGAAGUAAAAUGUCUGUUAAUAAAAUACAUUUUCAUUUGUUCCAUAUUGUUUAUAUUCUUCUAUAUGUUUCGGGGAUGGAAAUUAGUGGAGCUGAAGUAAAUCUGUUUUCUGAUUCACCAUGCAGAAGAAAAAAAAACUGGCAUUUUUACUAGGUAAAAGUUACCACAAGAGCAAAUAAAAAGAGACAAAAUGGUCUUCCUUAAGAUCUAUAAUGAGCUAUCAUAAAGCAGAUAAAUAAUUAUGUAAUUACAGUACUUUGGGAAAAUGAGGUAGCAGGAUUGCAUGAGCCUAUGAAUUUAAGGCUGCAGUGAACUAUGUUCGAGCCACUGCUCUCCAGCCAGAGUCACAGAAUGAGGCCCUUUCUAAAAAAAAAAAGGAAAAGAAAAAUAUUAAGGGUAAAUUAUGUUAGGAAGCAAUGUUGGAGUUGAAAACAGAAUAGAACUUUCUAACAAUUAGUUCUAGUGAGUCCUUAAUAGAAGUUAAAUUUUGCUGAGUUAUUUAUAAAAUUCAUUCACAUAGAGUGCCUUGGUGAGUCUUUAAUAUCAUUAAAAUAUUAUUAUUCUUAUCAUUUUACCAACAGCAUCCUAAAUAAAAUUCAGAUAAUUUAACUACUAUUACUAAAUGUAUUUCUCUUCUCUUUUACAGUAGCACAACUAUUUCAAAACUUUCCUAAAAAUGCACAAGUAGAGAUUAUUUUAUAUAUGAUAAUAUACCGUAAAAUCAACUCUACAAAUGUAAGUUAUUUUCUUUGUGAAAUAAAAACAUGACUCAUACAGAUUUAAUAAGCUGAUAAGAUCACAAUAUGGAUGAAUAUAUUGAUAAGGUCACAAUAUGGAUUUAUUUCCUCUCAGUUACCUCCUGCCUCUGAAGCUAAUGUUCUGUCCAUAUAAUCCCAGUAUCAUAUAAAAUAGUUUUGUAGGGAGAAAUGGUUGACUUAAAUUGACACUAGACUUGAUGAUCUUAGAGUACUCAUUCACUUAAAGAUAUUAUUUUAUGAUUACAUUACAAUUUAGAAAUAUAGUUACUAGAUUGACGAAUCAUCAGUGAUCCAGAUACAUCUUAAAUAAGGUAACUUUUUAGUCUGUUGAUGCAAGCAAGAAAUAGUACAUUGGCUGAAAAUUGGUGAAACACUAAAGUACAAGAACAGGAUUCAGAAAGCUUUUAAAAUGUGAUGAUCCAGUGAUCCAAGGUUGGCUCUACUAGGCACAUGUUUCCUAACUGAAUUAUUCUUAUCAAACUUAUCUCUUGUAGAAUUAUGUCAAGUAAGAUUUGGAGAUUGAGUUUAUGAUAUGAGUAUAAACAGCCUAUGGCUGACUCUUGCCUAUGUAUUUUCUUUAUAUUCUGGAAAUGGCUUCUUUAUUACUUUAUCUGAAAUGCUACCUAUUGAAGCUUCUGAUUUUCAAUUUUUCAAUUACUCAAUCUUCUAAAACAGGGGUGUCCAAUCUUUCGGCUUCCCUGUGCCACGUUGGAAGAAGAAGGAUUGUCUUGGGCCACACAUAAAGCACACUAACACUAACAAUAGCUGAUGAGCUAAAAAAAUUGCAAAAAAAUUUCACAAUGUUUUGAGAAUUUUACAAAUUUGUGUUGGACCUGAGCCUCAAAGCUGUCAUGAGCCUCAUGUGGCCGGGGGCCACAGGUUGGACAACCUUGUUCUAAAACAUUCAGCUUAGUGUGGCUGAAACCAAGUUAAAACCAACUUUUGUUCUGUGUUAUUAUGUUUUGUUUGUUUGUUUGGAGAUGACCACAACAAGGCUAAGAGUAAGAGUGAUUCACUUAAGAGAAUAAAGGGUAAGUGCAUGGCCCAAGGGACUAGAGAGGUUGAUUUCUUGUGGUGCUCUGGCCAGCAUUGGCUGUAGAAGGUUAACAUGAUGCCCAGGGGGAAAUAAACACCAAAGAAGCAAAAGGGCCAUGAAUGCAAGGAAGCAAGAACCAAAAGACCACCUUUAUCUCCUCUUAACUGCCAGCUUACCAUUCUUUAAUUAUAACUUCUUACAAGUUGAUCUCUACAAAUUCUUCCUACUUCAUUUUCCUUUGUUUUAAUGCCACUUAGAAAAUUUUCCAUGAGGAUUGCUGAGUCUGCCAUGGACAAGUAGGUAGAUAAGUUUUAGCAUUCCUGCCCCUUCAAAGGCAGACAGUGAGUGAAAGAUUUCAGCUUACACGAGCGGCAGCAUCUACUUUCACACUGUGUGGGAGAGUAAUAUAAAGGUGGAGCCUACAUACCCUUGUGACCAGCAAGUGUAUUAUGCAUGCCAUUGGCUGUCACUACACAGCAGCGAAGACAGAGCAGAGCUGUGAGUAUUUGUACAGAGUAAUGUUAGGGCACACUGAAAAAAUGUGACCUCUUUCUUAAUGAAAGUAUAAGAGCAUUGCCUAGAGUAGGCUUUACAGAUGUGUCUGUAUCAAAAGAGAACAGGCAGCUGAGUUAAAAUUCCAAAGCAUUGGCUGGGCGUGGUGGCUCAUGCCUGUAAUCCCAGCUCUUUGGGAUGCCCAGGCUGGCAGAUCUUGAGAUCAGGAGUUUGAGACCAGCCUGACCAACAUGGUGAAAUCCCAUCUCUACUAAAAAUACAAAAAUUAGCUGGGCGUGGAGGCAUGCGCCUGUAAUCCAGCUACCCAGGAGGCUGAGGCAGGAGAAUCACUUGAACCCGAGAAGCGUAGGCUGCAGUGAGCUGAGAUUGCACCACUGCACUCUAGCCUGGGCAACAGAGUAAGACUCCAUCUCAAAAAAAAAAGUCCAAACCAUUAGGAAUUAUAUGUUUCAAAUUAAAGCAAACUUUAUGAAGCAUACAUUAUAUUGUUAAUUUUCAAUUGCUUAAAUUGAUUAAUUCAAAAUUAGUCAAAUGUAUUCCUUACUUUGUUUUCAUAACUAUCGUUAAUAUGAUGUUCCAAGUCUGUAUUUGGAUAAAGAGUCAUUAUUAAAGCACCUCAGUGGUGUCUAAAAUGCAAAAGUUUCUCACUAAAUAUUUAUUUCAAAUUAAAUAAAAUCUAAAACAUGGAUAAUUCAGACAUGCAAAAUAUCAAAGAUUACUUUUUAUAGUGAUCAUAGGUUUAAUACAUAAUUAGAAGCUAAAAUAAACAUAUCCGAAAUUAAAACAAUAUGAUAACUGUGAGGUAAGUGUCCAAUGUUUGAAAAUGAGAACGUGGUAUUUGCUUCGAUCAAAUAAGUAAUAUUCAAGUUUUAAAACACUUUCCUAAAAUCAUUGUGACAUGAAGGCUGAUAAGCCAAUAGAAGCAAGAAUUUUCCAAGUCAGGAAAUCUGAGCUUGUCCAUUACUAUGUGUGUGAUUCUGGGCAGUUUAAAUUUCUGAGCCUCAUUAUCUUUAUUGGGAAUAGCAGUAUUACCUGCAGCUUUUAUAUCAGGAUGAAACUAACUAUAUGCAAACCAUCUACUACUGGGUAUAGGUGCUUGGUAGGCAAACACUAAGUUUAACUUUCUAUAAAUAUCAUUAAUGGAAACUAGUAUAUAAUGCAGGCCUUAAAAAAAGACCACAGCUAAGAAGGCUCCUACUAGGCUCAUUGUUUUACGUUCAUACUCCACAGUCUUAUAGAUAAUUCAGGCCCAACGAUAGUAAUCUUUAUCAUUUGGCAAAAUUCUAUCUUUUAUAUGUUAUGGUCCCUCAAACAUGCAGUAAUGUGUAGCAUUAAUGGACAUCAAGUAUUAAAUGUAAAGGCUAAAAUGAAAUAUAUUGUAAAUAAAUAAAUUAUUUUUAAAUUGUAGGUGAUUUUAAAAAAUCUUUCAUAUAUUGUCUUUUCAAGAAACAGUGGUGGAACAAGUGGGCAUUUACGUGCAAAUAAAUGAUCUAGAUACAGACCUUACAACCUUCACAAAAAUUAAAUCAAAAUGGAUCAUAUACCUCAAUGUAAAAUGCAAAACAAAAAUUCUGAGAAGAUAACAUAGAAAAUCUAGAUGAUCUUGGGCAUGGAGAUGACUUUAUACAGGUACCACCAAAGGCACUAUUUUAAAAAAACAUUAUACACUAGACUUAAUUAAAAUUAAAAACUUCUGCUCUGUAAAUGACACUGUCAAGCAAAUGGGAAAACAAGCCAUAGACUGGCAUAGAAUAAGUACAAAACAAAACAAAUCUAAUAAAAGAUUUUUACCUAAAUUAUACAAAGAACUCUUAAAAUUCAACAAAAAGAAAAUGAACAUUUGGAUAAAAAAGAGGGAAAGACCUAAACAGAUAACCUCAGCAAAGAAGGUAUAUGUAUGGCCAUAAAUAUAUGGAAAGAUGAUCCACAUUACAUGUCAUCAGGGAAAUGUAAAUUAAGACAACAAUGAGAUAAAAUUAGAAUGGUCAAAAGUCAGACAACUGACAACACCAAGAGCUGAUGAGGAUGUGGAACAACAAUUCUUCAUUCAUUGUUGGUGGGAAUGCAAAAUUGUGCAGCCACUUUAGUAGACGGUUAGUUGCUUAGAAAGCAAAACACAGACUUAUUAUGAUAUGCAAUCCAGCAAUCACGUUCCUUGGUAUUAUUUACCCAAAUGUGUUGAAAAUGCAUAUCCGUGCAAAAAUCUCCACACAAAAUGCUUAUAGCAGCUUUAUUUAUAUUUGUCAAAUCUUGGAAGAAACCAAGAAUUUCUUUAGUAAGUAAAUGGGUAAAUAAGUUGUGGUACGUCAUGGAAUAUUAUUCAGUGCCCAGGAAGAAAUGAGCUGUCAAGAAAUGAAAGGACAUUGAGGAAUCUUUAAUGUGUAUUACUGAGUGAAAGAAGCCAGUUUGAAAAGGAUAUAUAUUAUGAUUCCAACUCUAUGACAUUCUAGAAAACACAAAACUAUCACAGCAGUAAAAAGAUCAAUAACUAGACAAAGCUCAGGCAGUUUUUAGGACAGUGACACCAUUCUACAGAAUACUACAAUUGUGGGGACAUUGGUCAAAACCCACAGAAUAUAGAAAAAUGAACACUAACGUAAACAGUUCACUUUGGGUGAUAAUAAUGUGUAAAAGUAGGUUCAUUAAUUAUAACAAAUGCACCAGCUUGUUGCUAGAUAUUGAUAGCUGGGGAGGCUGUGCUUGUGUGGGAACAAGGGAUAUAUGGCAACUCUGUACUUUUUAGUCAACUUUGCUGUGAACCCAAAACUGCUCUAAAAAAUAAAGUCCAUUUAAAAGGGAACAAAAUUCCUCACACUAUAUGGGUGUCUCUUUAGGAUUCAAAUGACACAUUCAUUGAGAUAGUAAUCUUUAACUUACAAGCUGCACCAUGAAAACAAAGGUUACUACAGUCAGAUAUCUUAAAACAUUAAAACAUGAAAAUAUCUGUCACCAUAAUCUUUGUGUAUAUGAUAAUUCUAAUAACACUUAAAUCACAUAUUGUUUAUAGAAGUUUUAAAUUAAUGUAUUAUCAUUAGAACUGUCUGUAUGUUAACUACUUUGUCAAUAUUUUAUUCUAUGAAAUAAAACAAAUUCCUAAAAGUUGGUAUUGAUAAAUAGUAAAUAAGUAUUCAGAAUUAGAAAAAAGAAACCAAACAAUGACUUUCUGGUUGCCAGAUGUACAUGUUGUUCAGUCUGAUAAAUCAGUCAGCAUUUGUAAAGCUGUAUCUAAAAUCUGCUAAUAUAUCAUUCUGAAUAAUCUAGAAUUAGGUACUCCAUGACUAAAGUUAGUGAAGUGUCUCCAUUUUUUUCAAUAAGAUGUUAAAAACUCACAGUGUCCUACCUAAACAUAGAAGCAGCGUGUGCACAAUGGCAAAACGUACGUUUUCUGUGAUUUCACAUGCCCUGUAAAUAUGUUUGAUUAUAACAAGAGUCUGAUGAGGACCACUGCCCUGAGAAUAAAGCAAAACAAUGUAAAUUAACAGCAUCAAUCAAACAGGGUUCCAAUUCUGGCCUUGUUACUCUCACUACUUAUAUAGUGCUAGGCAAACCCCUUAGCUCCUUCAUUUUCUAAAAGAGAAAGUUAGAAUUGAUAAAGUUUAUGAUGUGCUUAUAUCUAGGAAUUGUGUUUGCUGUAUCACAGUGCAUUGUUUUCUUCAAAUAUAUAUUCGUUAAACCAAAGUACUUCGGAAUGCUAGGAACAGGCCCAAAUUGUGUCCAUGGAAAACUUACUGGAUGAAACCAUACGUAGCAUUUAAACUGAUCUGAUUUUUGAGGAUCAGAACUCCUUUGAACCCUAAUGUUAACUUUCUUCUACUAUGUAUUGCUAUAUUAACAUAUGGCAUUAUUUAUUAUGCAAAGACAAUAACAAGGGCUUAUAAGUCUUUUGAUUACUUACAACACCAAGGAAAUGGAUGAAAAUACACUUAACAUACAUUCACUAAUGGUGAUUUCAUCACUGAUAACAAUAUGAGUUUAAAAUAAAUCAAGUUCAUUUUGGCAAGAAUGAUUAUUUUUGUGUGUAGUGUCUCUUCAAGACUUCUAUAAAACCAAAUACAAUGAAAUGCCAUUUCAAUGCCCAGAAAUUUUCUACAAGACAAGCAAUUCAAAAUACCUUACUCAUUAUAUAAUCCAUUUUCUCACUGGUAGAACCUAAGAGAUGUGAAGAGGCAAAUAAUUACCUGUGGAAGGUCAGGUCUUCCUGCUCUUCCUGUUUCAAAAUUCUAAACCAAAAGUACUCUUUUUAGAAAGUGUACAAUUUUAAAUAAUUUAAAUUGGAAAUACGUGAACCUGUGUGUGUGUAAAUUGUUGUUUUGAAUUGUUUCCUUUCUUCAUUCACUAAUCUGCUGAAAGACAUUUACUAACAGAAGAGUAUUUGUCUAUUUGAUUUUGCUUUCAAAGCAGCUAGAAGAGGAUUUUACAUCUGGCAGUCUUCUUUAUGUUACCUAUACAUAAGAAUUAAUGCAAAUAUAAUAAAUAAAAUUUGCCUUUUAAAAAAAGCUAGUUGUAAGACAGAUAAUGUUUUUUUCCAAAAAAUAUUUGGUUGUUAAAUAAUAUAAUUAUCAAUGUGAUCAUUCUUGAUGUGGCUGCCAGAUAUAAGACCACUCCUCCUGAGAAAGUCUUUUAAUUGUGUCUUAUUUUACAAUAAAAGCUUGUCCUUUUAUGAUACCCCAACUUCUUCAUAGAAGUGCUCUACAGGGAAAAGAAAUAGAGAAGAACCCUCAAAUUCACUGUAAAACCAUUUCUUAACUACCAGGAGAUUCAGCCUUCCCUUCCCAAAUAGUUACCACCUGUAUACACAUGGGCAAUUUUCUUUUUAUGUAGAAAACAAUCUCCUAAAAUAAUCUUGCAGAAACUCAUAUAUGGGGAACCUUGGUGAGCUGUCUUUGGAUAUUUGUGUUGAUUUUUAUUAAAAAAUAAACAGUUUAUGGCAAAACAAUUAUUCAAGUUGGUAGUAUUCCUCUUCUUAAAAAGUGCUGUUGAUUACAUAGUUAUUAGCUAUCAUAAAAUAAUGAGAAAUGCAAAAUAAAUUACAGGUAUAUUGAGAUGACUUACCACAUCUUUAUUAGGUCUCUCUCUCUCUCUCACCUGUUUUUGUAUGUGUGUGUGUGUGUGUUUGUACAUACAUAUACAUAUAAUAUAUGGAAGGGCAUAAAGGAAGAGAAUAAACCAUUAUUUUUAAAAGUGUCAUUUUAAUGACAAAGGGAUGCUCGUGUCACAUUCUUUAAUCCUGAAUCAAGGAUUAAGCAUUUUUAAUUAAUUGGGCAAAGGCAUUCAGGCAGCUUAAGGCAGCUUAGAUAGUGCUGCAGUUUAUUUAAUAUUAUAGCAGCAGGGAAGGGCUUUCUCUCCUCCAUGAUAUAAGAGAUUCUUUCAAAGAGGGUAACAUCACUGAUAUAAUUCUUUCUUAUAGAGAGGAAAAUUUCCAUCCCAUUGAUGGAGAUAAAUGAAAGAUAUCAGAAGAACACUUUUAUAACUUUACAGUAAGUAAUUUCAUGUAAUUUAGUAAAAAAUGGUUUGUUAAAUAAGUAUUAAUACAACCAAUAUCAAAUAAAUUGACUUAUAUUAAAAAGAUUUAUCCAGGAUGAUUAUACACUACUACCACUAUAUUACAAAAUUUCAUUUUUUGGACAUGAGUCAUAAAUUGCAUUGAUGUGCAGUGGGCAAAAUGUAACUUCUGUUUAAAUCAAGAAGCAAAGCUAAGAUAAUUAAAAGUCUACUUUUUUUUUUUUUAAUGGCCAGGUUCAGGUGAAUAACGCUGAGGAUACUGAAAGAGGAAUUGGAAUUCUGAAUCUGUCAAUUAGCUGCUGAAAGAGACCAAAUUGAUUGCUUAAGUGAACAAUCAAACAAGGAGUAUAAUAAAAGUUAUUCUUUAGUGGGAAGGAGAAGAAAUUGGAAAUUCAGGUCAAAUAAUCAAAGUUCUGAGAAAGUCUCAUAGAUCCCAAAGAAUUAGAGACCAUCAUUACCUUUCUCAACUCUCAACAACCAGUAGGAAAACAAAUUCCACAAAGAGUCGUGAAUGAAACAUUUAAACCGUUAAAAUCUCUUGUUUUUGGAAACGAUUGUAAUUUCCAUGUCAGUUUUAAGUUACAUUCAGAAUAAGGAUUGUACUUUGAUUUUGGGGAUAUACUUACAUGGCUUCUUAAACAACUUUGUUCCUCUUCAUUAUAAGUUAAAGAGUGAACAUUAUUACUUUAGGCAAUUAACGACAAAUAAAGAUUAAAGAAAUAUUUCCCCCAUCCCAAAGAAAAGAAUGUUCUUGAGGGCAUGUCUCUGUCUGCAUUCAUAGAUCCCUUCCAAGCGUUCUCCAGGCAUUGGAAUAUCUUAAGUCUUCCUAAUACCUCUAUGUACCUGAUCAGAAUUAGAAAAUAUUGGCAGAUACUGGACUGAGUAAAAGAAGGGCAAUAACAUGAAUUCUGGCCUUUAUUUGUUCUUCUCUUGAGAAUGUAAUUUUUAAAAUAAUGUUUUGGAGAUUUUACUAUUUACCAUGCUGAAUAUUUUUUAGUAGAUAAACAUCCAGCAUUUCAUAUGCACACACAUUUUCCCUUAGAAAUUAUUAUUUAAAGAAUUUCCACCUUUAUGCUUCCAAACUUUGGAAGCUAAUGAAGAAAUGUUGGUUUUCAAUAAACCUUUUAAUACAUAACUCUUGAUUGAUUUUCAUUAAUAUCUACAAUAACUUAAAGAAAAAAGCUCAUGAUAUGAUUUUACAUUACUUAUAGUCUUCAUACUAUGCAGCACAGCCCAUAUUGUUUUUAUCAACAAGAAGGCUUCUUAUUAAAAAUAAAAUAAAUAAUGUAUAUUCUGCCAUUAGUGCAAAGUUGGAUAUUAAAAGCCAAAAUAUUUAAUAGACCAUUUAAGAAUCACUGAAAUAUUGUGGAGUAAAUUGAAGGGAGUACUUCCUUAUGGAAAAUGUGUUCCUUCAUAGCCCAGUACAUGACUCUGUGUGGUGUUCAGAAAACAUUCCCAGAUUACCUUGACUAAUUUCACUUUGCCUUGUGAAAGUGUGCAGGUAUGAUUGAUUCUAUAAUUAGAAACGAUAGAAAUAAAACAUUUCCUUUUACGUUGCAUUAGAAAAUGAUUUGCUUGAAAGGGAAAACUGCUAGACAUACUUUAAAUUUGGCUCCCUGUUAAGCAUACCAAAAAUCAAAUAGUCUUUUUCACAACAUGAACAAGAUACUUCUGUGUGUAAACAACAAAUAGAAACCUCCUGCAGUGUGUGUGUGUGUGUGUCUGUAUGUUUGUGUGUAUGUGUGUUAAUCCUUACUUGAUUGCAUGACAAGUAAAGCUUGUCGUGCAUUUAAGAAAGCACAUUUAAAAAAGAGUUUUCAUUUUAGUUUUAUUGUAGUGAGUAGUAUUUUUAAUUUUCUUG